rnacentral:lncRNA from 1 species
GUGUUGCGCUUGUUGAAUUUUUCUCUUUUUAUUCAAAUCAAGUUUUUGUUGGGGUGGACUUGUCCUUUAACUAGACAAACAAGAUACUCCAGCACUUUAUUGACUUGUGGACUAGACUUGGCAAGAACUAUUAUACCAACUCAAGACUUUAAAGAAAUGUCAUAAACCCAAGACUGGAUGUCACAACUCAGUGGAGUUAUAUGUAUGUAUUUACAACACAUUUGCCUUGUUAAUACCAUGCAAGUGUUUAAAUACAUGAGUGGGUUAUUCAUACUGCCAGUACAAGUACUAGGAAUACAGGAACUUUAUGAAGCUGCUGAAGAAUUGACUGCACAAAAUGCCACAAAAGUGGACAAAAUGAAAAGUAGAUGUAUCCAGCCACCUAAAGAAGACUUGAUUUUGUGUAAAUUUAUUAGAAUCCCAAGGAUGUCUUCACAACACCUCAAUUCAAUUAUUCAUUUUUGGGUUAAUUAACCAGUAUUUAAGUACUUCUCCAUAUAAACGUAGGACUUGCAAUUUGAAUCCAUCAAAUGGAUAGUGCCUUGUUACCUCUACAUAUUGGAUGGUAUUCCGAUAGCCAUGUUUUAGUUAAGCCUGGGAUAACUUAGACCAUACUUAAGACCAUACCUGUGUGAAGUGCCUGUUGUCAACUUAUUCACCAAUUAAAAAUUAUUCUUAGCAUUUUCCAAAAGACGUCAAAAAUGAUCGAGUCAGGAAAUAUGAAAAUGCUAAUAUACAAUGAAUUUUAAUGAAUUUGUACAUCAUAAUUGAUAUAAGAAAUAUUAUGGAGCCAAUAUUCUAUAUUCCAAGUGUGGUUUAGUUAUCAGAAUAUCAAGCAUGGUGGCUAAUAAAUUAUCCCCCCUUAUUUAUUUUUUCAGCCCCCCCCUAUUUUUUCAAUAAAAUUAUGUAAGAAUGUAAUGACAAUCUGAUUGUGUUUUUGCAUAAGCCCCUCCCCCCCUCAUAAUAAUAACUGUUCAUGGCCUCUGUAUAAGGGUAAGAUGGCUUGUCAUCAGAAUGCUAGGCCAUCUUACUUGGCUUGAAGGGAAAAAUGUAUUGCUAACAAACAGUUUAUAUGUAAUCUCUCUUGAAUGUUCGAACUUGACAAUGAUAGUCUAUUUAAUUUAUUUAUUUUCUCAUCAAGCUAAAUUCUCAAAUUCAAGGUAUAUGUAGUGUAUCUUGCAAGUCCAAAGUGAUUUGAGCUGUGCAGGGGUGAGUGAUGUUACGAUGAAUUCAAUUGUAUUCUAGAGUAUUAUAUACUUCAAAUCAUGUAUUUAUUAUGUAUUUUCUUUUUGUGUACCGAAGCUAUGUUGGUUGCCAUGGUGUCAUGGCGGCCUGGUUCUAAUCAAAUGAACCCGCCGAAUGAAAGCGCGUUUCUCACAGGAGAAAAAUGAAUUUGAUCGCUUGCAACCUAUUUUUCAGACGAGCCUAAGUGUACAGAUGACCGUCAGCUGCGACUUUUUUAGAACCAGCCUGCCAUGACACCAUGGCAACUGACGUCACACUUCGGUACUCUAUUGUGCAUGACUGUGGAAUAGAUCCAUACGUCUCUUGGGCCAUUAUGUAAGUUUCCUGAGUAAAUAUGAAAUUAAUAAAUAUAUUUAUUUUGUGUGAGAGCUGGAGCUCAU